rnacentral:tRNA from 4 species
GCGGGUGUAGCACAAUGGUAGUGCAUCUGGUUGCCAAUCAGAGUACGUGGGUUCGAUUCCCAUCACCCGCUCAA